UACAUGCUCUACUGUUUCCUGGUGCUUC
rnacentral:piRNA from 1 species